GACGAACGCUGGCGGCGUGCCUAACACAUGCAAGUCGAACGGAACUGUUUUGAAAGAUUUCUUCGGAAUGAAUUUGAUUUAGUUUAGUGGCGGACGGGUGAGUAACGCGUGAGUAACCUGCCUUCAAGAGGGGGAUAACAUUCUGAAAAGAAUGCUAAUACCGCAUGAUAUAUCGGAACCACAUGGUUUUGAUAUCAAAGAUUUUAUCGCUUGAAGAUGGACUCGCGUCCGAUUAGUUAGUUGGUGAGGUAACGGCUCACCAAGACCGCGAUCGGUAGCCGGACUGAGAGGUUGAACGGCCACAUUGGGACUGAGACACGGCCCAGACUCCUACGGGAGGCAGCAGUGGGGGAUAUUGCGCAAUGGGGGCAACCCUGACGCAGCAACGCCGCGUGAAGGAUGAAGGUUUUCGGAUUGUAAACUUCUUUUAUUAAGGACGAAACUUGACGGUACUUAAUGAAUAAGCUCCGGC
rnacentral:rRNA from 1 species